GUGGGGAAUAUUGCACAAUGGGGGAAACCCUGAUGCAGCGACGCCGAGUGAGUGAAGAAGUAUUUCGGUACGUAAAGCUCUAUCAGCAAGGAAGAAAAUGACGGUACUUGACUAAGAAGCCCCGGCUAACUACGUGCCAGCAGCCGCGGUAAUACGUAGGGGGCAAGCGUUAUCCGGAUUUACUGGGUGUAAAGGGAGCGUAGACGGUAUGGUAAGUCAGAUGUGAAAGCCCGGGGCUCAACCCCGGGACUGCAUUUGAAACUAUCAGACUAGAGUGCAGGAGAGGUAAGUGGAAUUCCUAGUGUAGCGGUGAAAUGCGUAGAUAUUAGGAGGAACACCAGUGGCGAAGGCGGCUUACUGGACUGUAACUGACGUUGAGGCUCGAAAGCGUGGGGAGCAAACAGGAUUAGAAACCCGGGUAGUCC
rnacentral:rRNA from 1 species